rnacentral:rRNA from 1 species
UUAUUUAUUUUAUUAUAUUUAUUUUUGUUUAUUUAAUUAUUUAAUAGAAAUAAUUUUAUUGAAUUUUGUCUUAGUAUAUUUUGUAGAAUUGAUUUUUUAAAUUAUAGUUUAUUGGUAAUGUAAUUGUUUUAUGAAAUAUUAUUUUAAAUUUUUAAAAGUAUAUUUUAUUUAUUGUACCUUUUGUAUCAGGGUUUAUCAAAAUUUUAGUAUUUAAUUUACUUGUCUCGAUUUGGGUUGAUUUAUAAAUAAUUUACAGUUAAUGUAUCAUAAUUAUUAUUAAAUUAUUUAUUGAAAUGAAAUGUUAAUCGUUUCCCAAGAUAUCUAGUUUCUUAAGAAAAAUUUUAAUUUUUUAAAGUUAAUUGUUUUUAUUUAAUUUUUUAAUUAUAAAUAUUAACUUAUUUAUUCUUUNNNNNNNNNAUAAUAGUAAGCUUUAAACCAGCUAUCNUUAAGAUUACGUUUUAGUUCAUNAUUUUCUAUUUUGAUUUUAUAAUUAUUUUAGGUUUUUUAUUAAGAUUAUUUAUUUAAUUUUAAAAUUUUUGUAAUAAUGNUAGAAUUAGUAUAUUUAUUNGUAUAUAAUUUUUACCUUGUGAAUUUAUUAUAAGGAACUAGGCAAAAUUGAUUUCCGCCUGUUUAUCAAAAACAUGUCCUCUUGAAAAUACUUUGAGGUCUGGCCUGCUCACUGAGCGGAUUUUUAAAGAGCCGCGGUAUUUUGACCGUGCAAAGGUAGCAUAAUCAUUAGUCUCUUAAUUAGUGGCUGGAAUGAAUGGCUUGACGAGAAAUCAACUGUCUCUUAAUAAAUUUUUGAAUUUAAC